rnacentral:rRNA from 1 species
GACGAACGCUGGCGGCGUGCUUAACACAUGCAAGUCGAGCGGUAAGGCCCUUUCGGGGGUACACGAGCGGCGAACGGGUGAGUAACACGUGGGUGACCUGCCCUCAGCUCUGGGAUAAGCCUGGGAAACUGGGUCUAAUACUGGAUAUGACUCCACGGUGCAUGUCGUGGGGUGGAAAGCCUUGUGCGGCUGAGGAUGGGCCCGCGGCCUAUCAGCUUGUUGGUGGGGUGAGGCCUACCAAGGCGACGACGGGUAGCCGGCCUGAGAGGGCGACCGGCCACACUGGGACUGAGACACGGCCCAGACUCCUACGGGAGGCAGCAGUGGGGAAUAUUGGACAAUGGGCGAAAGCCUGAUCCAGCGACGCCGCGUGGGUGAAGAAGGCCUGCGGGUUGUAAAGCCCUUUCGGUGGGGAAAGAAAAGCCUCGAGUUAAUACCUCGGGGUCUUGACGUAACCCAUAGAAGAAGCACCGGCUAACUCUGUGCCAGCCGCCGCGGUAAC